rnacentral:rRNA from 1 species
GAUGAACGCUGGCGGCGUGCUUAACACAUGCAAGUCGAACGAAGCACUUAAGAUUGAUUCUUCGGAUGACGUCUUUUGUGACUUAGUGGCGGACGGGUGAGUAACGCGUGGGUAACCUGCCUCACACAGGGGGAUAACAGUUAGAAAUGACUGCUAAUACCGCAUAACCCGAUAGGAUCGCAUGACCCAGACGGAAAAGAUUUAUCGGUGUGAGAUGGACCCGCGUCUGAUUAGCUAGUUGGUGAGGUAACGGCCCACCAAGGCGACGAUCAGUAGCCGGCCUGAGAGGGUGAACGGCCACAUUGGGACUGAGACACGGCCCAAACUCCUACGGGAGGCAGCAGUGGGGAAUAUUGCACAAUGGGGGAAACCCUGAUGCAGCGACGCCGCGUGAGUGAAGAAGUAUUUCGGUAUGUAAAGCUCUAUCAGCAGGGAAGAAAAUGACGGUACCUGACUAAGAAGCCCCGGCUAACUACGUG